GAUGAAGAACGCAGCGAAAUGCGAUAAGUAAUGUGAAUUGCAGAAUUCAGUGAAUCAUCGAAUCUUUGAACGCACAUUGCGCCCCUUGGUAUUCCGAGGGGCAUGCCUGUUCGAGCGUCAUUAUAACCCCUCAAGCUCAGCUUGGUGUUGGGGCCUGCCGCACGGGCAGCCCUUAAAAUCAGUGGCGGUGCCGUCUGGCUCUAAGCGUAGUAAUUCUUCUCGCUAUAGAGUCCCGGUGGAUGCUUGCCAUUAACCCCCAAUUUUCUAUGGUUGACCUCGGAUCAGGUAGGGAUACCCGCUGAACUUAAGCAUAUCAAUAAGCGGAGGA
rnacentral:misc_RNA from 1 species